rnacentral:rRNA from 1 species
AUGAGUGUUAAAGAUAUCGUUUACAACUGUUAUCAGAGAAUUGUUGGACGUGGGUGUAAAACUAGAUUUUGGGAAGAUGCUUGGAUCCACAACAAGCCUCUCUGUCAACUUUUUCCUCGCUUGUACAAACUUACUUUCCAUCAAAACAUUACGGUUGCUAAAGCAUUUGAACAAGAUUUUAACUGCAUUAGAUUUAGGAGAUGUUUAUAUGGGGAGACAUUGGAUAUGUGGAAUAAACUUCUAGAUAUGUGCAGUCAGGUUGUUUUGAGUGAGGAACCUGGCAAUGUCAAAUGGCUUUUGACCACCUCUGGCCAGUUCUCUAUUAAAUCUCUUUAUCAAUAUAUUAUUGCUAGGAGAGUAGUGUUCCCUUUUAAGUUUCUGUGGAAACUGAAGGUACCUUUGAAAAUUAAGGCUUUUAUUUGGUUAGUUAUCAAAGGGAGGAUCCUGACCAAUAAAAAAGGCUGGAAAGGCACCAACAAAUGUGAAUUUUGUGAUGCCAAUGAAUGUAUUGACCAUCUGCUUUUCACUUGCUCUUUUUCUCAGUUUCUUUGGAAUGUAGUUGGGAGUGCUUUGGGAAAUCCCCAAACACCCAUGUCAUUCUUUGACUUUUGCCAGAAUUGGCUUCCUAAGUAUACUGGGAAAGAUAGAGUGGUUAUAGCUAUUGGUACGACUGCUUUAUUAUGGUCGAUCUGGAAAACAAGACAUAAAUCUUGCUUUCAAAGUUCUUUACCUAAAAAUCCUAUUGAUAUUAUCUUCUCCUUAUGUUCUGUGUUGGAUUCGUGGGGUGUGCUAUAG